GAACUGUGGGCUAGGUAUUCCAGCUGCCAAGGAUCUAAAAAUUGGAAUUACAUGCAUGGGGGAACUGAAUUCUGAGCUUGAAAAGGAAGAGCACAUCAUGGGAAAAAUUAAUGGUAUCUAUAACCAAUGUUGGCUUUGAUCUAUUUUAUCCUCAACUGCUUGGGAUACUAUUGUUGAUCCAGUACUGUAUUCUGAACUGCCAGGAGACUCGUGGAGAUUGGGUUGUCUGCGAGCAGUGAAGUUGAUAAGGCCACAAAUAA